rnacentral:rRNA from 1 species
CCUACGGGAGGCAGCAGUGGGGAAUAUUGCACAAUGGGGGGAACCCUGAUGCAGCGACGCCGCGUGAGUGAAGAAGUAUUUCGGUAUGUAAAGCUCUGUCAGCAGGGAAGAAGAAAGACGGUACCUGACCAAGAAGCCCCGGCUAACUACGUGCCAGCAGCCGCGGUAAUACGUAGGGGGCAAGCGUUAUCCGGAUUUACUGGGUGUAAAGGGAGCGUAGACGGCAGGGCAAGUCUGGAGUGAAAGGCAGGGGACCAACCCCUGGACUGCUCUGGAAACUGUCCGGCUGGAGUGCAGGAGAGGUAAGUGGAAUUCCUAGUGUAGCGGUGAAAUGCGUAGAUAUUAGGAGGAACACCAGUGGCGAAGGCGGCUUACUGGACUGUAACUGACGUUGAGGCUCGAAAGCGUGGGGAGCAAACAGGAUUAGAUACCCGAGUAGUC